UACGGAGGGUGCUAGCGUUGUUCGGAAUUACUGGGCGUAAAGGGCGCGUAGGCGGCCCGCUAAGUUAGAUGUGAAAACUCUGGGCUCAACCCAGAGCCUGCAUCUAAUACUGACGGGCUAGAGUUCUGGAGGGGGUAGCGGAAUUCCUGGUGUAGCGGUGAAAUGCGUAGAUAUCAGGAGGAACACCGGUGGCGAAGGCGGCUACCUGGACAGAGUCUGACGCUGAGGCGCGAAAGCUAGGGGAGCAAACAGG
rnacentral:rRNA from 1 species